GACGAACGCUGGCGGCGUGCUUAACACAUGCAAGUCGAACGGUAAGGCCCUUCGGGGUACACGAGUGGCGAACGGGUGAGUAACACGUGGGUGAUCUGCCCUGCACUUCGGGAUAAGCCUGGGAAACUGGGUCUAAUACCGGAUAGGACCACUGCCUGCAUGGGUGGAGGUGGAAAGCUUUUGCGGUGUGGGAUGGGCCCGCGGCCUAUCAGCUUGUUGGUGGGGUGAUGGCCUACCAAGGCGACGACGGGUAGCCGGCCUGAGAGGGUGACCGGCCACACUGGGACUGGAAUACGGCCCAGACUCCUACGGGAGGCAGCGGUGGGGAAUAUUGCACAAUGGGCGCAAGCCUGAUGCAGCGACGCCGCGUGAGGGAUGACGGCCUUCGGGUUGGAAACCUCUUUCAGCACCGACGAAGCGCAAGUGACGGUAGGUGCAGAAGAAGGACCGGCCAACUACGUGCCAGCAGCCGCGGUAA
rnacentral:rRNA from 1 species